UAAUAGCUCAGUUGGUAGAGCAUGAAACUCUUAAUCCCAGUGUUAUGGGUUCGAGUCCAACAUUGGGCAAAG